GGUUCGCCUGGGGCGAGGAGUCACGCCGCCUCGCAUGCCGCGGACGGUAACAAUCCGCGCGUUCUGUUCCGCGCGUUCCUC
rnacentral:tRNA from 1 species